rnacentral:rRNA from 1 species
UACGAAGGGUGCGAGCGUUAUUCGGAAUUAUUGGGCGUAAAGGGUGCGCAGGCGGCACGAUAAGUCACUAGUUAAAGACCCCGGCCUAACUGGGGAAAAGCGGUUGAUACUAUCAUGCUAGAGAUUGGAAGAGAGAAGCGGAAUUCUUGGAGUAGCGGUAAAAUGCGUAGAUCUCAAGAGGAACACCAAUGGCGAAGGCAGCUUCUUAGUCCAUUUCUGACGCUCAUGCACGAAAGCGUGGGGAGCAAACAGG